CUUUGCACUCAUCGAGGAGGGGUGAGAACCUUCGAUUAAGGUUCGACUCGAGCGAAAGCGAGAGAACGUUGCCGCAGGCAACGGCCCGAAGGAUGAGGAGCGAAGCGACGAAUAAUCCUUCCCCCACCACCA
rnacentral:sRNA from 1 species